rnacentral:rRNA from 1 species
AACGAACGCUGGCGGCAUGCCUAACACAUGCAAGUCGAGCGCCCGUGGCAAUACGGGAGCGGCGCACGGGUGAGUAACGCGUGGGAACCUGCCCAGAGGUUCGGGACAACCGCGGGAAACUGCGGCUGAUACCGGAUGAUGCCUGAGGGUCAAAGAUUUAUCGCCUUUGGAGGGGCCCGCGUCGGAUUAGGUAGUUGGUGGGGUAACGGCCUACCAAGCCUAUGAUCCGUAACUGGUCUGAGAGGAUGACCAGUCACACUGGGACUGAGACACGGCCCAGACUCCUACGGGAGGCAGCAGUGGGGAGUAUUGGACAAUGGGGGGCAACCCUGAUCCAGCAAUGCCGCGUGGGUGAUGAAGGCCUUCGGGUUGUAAAGCCUUUCGGCGGGGACGAUGAUGACGGUACCCGCAGAAGAAGCUCCGGCUAACUUCGUGCCAGCAGCCGCGGUAAU